rnacentral:rRNA from 1 species
GUGAGUAACACGUGACUAACCUACCCUGGAGUGGGGGAUAACUGAGGGAAACCUUAGCUAAUACCACAUAACACCUACGGGUCAAAGGAGCAAUUCGCUUCAGGAGGGGGUCGCGGCCGAUUAGUUAGUUGGCGGGGUAAUGGCCCACCAAGACAGUGAUCGGUAUCCGGCCUGAGAGGGCGCACGGACACACUGGAACUGAAACACGGUCCAGACUCCUACGGGAGGCAGCAGUGGGGAAUAUUGGACAAUGGGGGAAACCCUGAUCCAGCAAUGCCGCGUGUGUGAAGAAGGCCUUAGGGUUGUAAAGCACUUUUAGUCGUGAGGAAAGUAAGCGUGUUAAUACCAUGCUUAUUUGACGUUAACUUCAGAAAAAGCACCGGCUAACUCUGUGCCAGCAGCCGCGGUAAUACAGAGGGUGCAAGCGUUAAUCGGAAUUAUUGGGCGUAAAGAGCGCGUAGGUGGAUUAAUAAGUUGGAUGUGAAAUCCCUGGGCUUAACCUGGGAAUUGCAUUCAAAACUAUUAGUCUAGAGUACAGUAGAGGGAAGUGGAAUUUCCGGUGUAGCGGUGAAAUGCGUAGAUAUCGGAAAGAACAUCAGUGGCG